rnacentral:rRNA from 1 species
CCUACGGGAGGCAGCAGUGGGGGAUAUUGGACAAUGGGGGGAACCCUGAUCCAGCGACGCCGCGUGAGUGAAGAAGUAUCUCGGUAUGUAAAGCUCUAUCAGCAGGGAAGCAGAAAUGACGGUACCUGAGUAAGAAGCCCCGGCUAACUACGUGCCAGCAGCCGAGGUCAUACGUAGGGGGCAAGCGUUAUCCGGAAUUACUGGGGGUAAAGGGAGCGUAGACGGUGAUGUAAGUCUGGAGUGAAAGGCGGGGGCCCAACCCCCGGACUGCUCUGGAAACUAUGUGACUGGAGUGCAGGAGAGGUGAGCGGAAUGCCUGGUGUAGCGGUGAAAUGCGUAGAUAUUAGGAAGAACACCAGUGGCGAAGGCGGCUUUCUGGACUGAAACUGACGCUGAGGCACGAAAGCGUGGGGAGCGAACAGGAUUAGAUACCCCUGUAGUC